AACGAACGCUGGCGGCAUGCCUAACACAUGCAAGUCGAACGAAACGUUCGGGCCUAGUGGCGCACGGGUGCGUAAGGCGUGGGGAGCUGCACUUAGGUUCGGAAUAACUCCCCGAGAGGGGUGCUCAUACAGGAUGAUGUCUUCGGACCUAAGAUUUAUCGCCUUGGGAUGGGGGCGCGUAGGAUUAGCUAGUUGGUAGGGUAAAAGCCUAGCAAGGCGACGAUGCAUGGCUGGUCGGGUAGGAGGCUUAGCCAGGGUUGGAAUGAGACACGGCCCAGACUCCUACGCGAGGGUGCAGUAUAUAGUACUGUACGAUGGGCGCUAGCCUAAUCCAGCAACGCCGCGGGAGUGAUGAAUGCGUUAGUAUUGUAAUGCUCUUUUUCCCGAGAUGAUAAUGACGGUACCGGGUAAAGAAGCACCGGCUAACUCCGUG
rnacentral:rRNA from 1 species